rnacentral:lncRNA from 1 species
UAUCCAUUAAUGCAUUCUCUGUAUCUCUCUCUAUCUCUCAAAUCUUUCAACCCCACUUCUUCUUUUCCCUCCUCUGUUAACCUAUCGGUCAAAUUUUCUGGUGGAGAUGCAAAGCUAACCUCUCUAAGAAUCCCGAGUACAAGUAAGGUAUGUUUCAAACACAAGAAAUAAUGAUAGUUCAACUGACCCAUGAGCAGCAAAUUGCAAAAUUAAUAUAAAUAAUAAAGAGAAAGAAGAAAGUGAGAGUAUUGUUUUCUUUUUCCUUGCUUUGCUGUGAGGAACCUCAUUCAUUAAUUAUCAUCAACACUUGCUAGACCAUUACCAUAUGCCUGAUCUUUCCUUUAAUUUAUUUAAUUAAUAAAUUACAAAUGCAGUAUUAGCAGUAGCUGACAUUUUCAAAGCAUUUGUGGAUUUGCGGGAGUGAUGAAUGAGAUUCUCCAAAAGCUAAAACAAGGAGAGAUUCCCAUAAGGUGAGACUUAAAAAAGGGUGGAGAUCACAUGUACAAUACAAAGCCACCAACUUUAAGUUGAAUGGAAGAAAAGAUAAAGAAAACUCCUCAAAGCAUAAAGAAAACUCCCACAUCAAGUCAAGAUGCAGUAUAUAUACAUUUUUGCCCUAAAAGGAGGGGAACCACAGACAUAAACAUGAUAUUUUAUAUUCUUUUCUUCUUCUUUUUUCAUAUAUUAAGGACUUCUACUGUCUUAAUUUAUCAUGACAACAUGCAUACAGCAAUCAUAGCCGUCCAAUUUACUACUCUUUUCUUUCUUUCUUUCUUUCUCUACAAUAAAGUAGGAGAAUUUGAGAUGGGUUGUGAUCCAUUACUUCUUUUUUCCAUAACUUUAUGAUUUUUCACUUUGCUUUUUUCUACGAUGUUCUUUUAUUUUCAAUUUCGGUGGAGGUUAAACGAAAGAGUGGUCGAAAUAUGGUUGGCUUGAUGCAUGCAAUAAUAGAGCUAUAGAAUAAAAGAGAAAGGUGAGGAAAAGGGGACGCCGAAUCCAUCCAUCUAGCUAGCUACUUUUCAUCUAACCUUUCAUCUUGUGGGGUCCCGCCAUCUCCCUCUUCAAUUUUCUUUAAAUCGUGUAAUUAUAUAUGUAUCUAUAUUCACGUCACCUACAUAUUAGCAUAAUUUUUAUGGAAAAAAAAAACUAUUAAUAUUUUAGAUUUCAUCGUUUUCGAUUUAAAUUAUUUUUAUUGUUAAAAGGUCCAAAAUUUUCAAUUAAGAAAUUAAAGGAUUUCUUUUUUUUUUGUUUAAAAAAAAGAAAAUCUUAUUAAAUAGUGAGAUGGGAAAGAAGAGCCAAGUCCAAGCCAAGGUGUUUUAUUUUUAAUGCAGCGUGGCCCUGUGUCUGUACGGCCUGCCUCAUCCGGCGUGUGUUAUCUUAUAAUCAUGCCUUGCUUUUUAUUGUAUCUUUACGACUUUACCCAUACAGCCCCAAUACUUGCAGUUGCUGGAGCUCAACAGCUAUUAUUAGUGUUUAUAUACUAAUCUUUUGUAUUAUUAUAUUAACAUCAGACAACAGUGUCAGCAACCAUAACCCCUUGCCUAAUAGGUCAAAUUUUUGGGUUAGUUGACAGAUUUAUUUGUCGUUUUGUCCUUUUAAUUGUAGCCCGUUCAUCUAACAAUAUUAAAAUUAAG